GGGGACAUUGGCAGGCGGGAGCAGUAGUAGAAAACAGAUAAAAAAAACAAAAAAGAAAGAGACGAACGUGUCGUAUUUCAUAACUCCUCGGUGGAUUCGUAUCGGAGCAGACAGCAAGUGUGUAAUAAAAUGAUGGAAACAUGUGUUGAAGGAAAGUCCUCACUCAUCAGGUUUGAACAGCCGCACAGUGCGUCAACACGAUGCACCACACAUCAACAUCAUCAAUAGUUGAAUGUAGAAAAUUCGUGUUAAAAUGGAAAAAUCAUCGAGUGAGAGAAUUUUUUAAAAUAAUCAGCUGAAGCCUGAAGUUUGUGGAUCGCAGCCAGCGGACUACCAUGCGCAUCAACCUUUUGUCUAACCAUGCAGCGAAUUUACUACUUUGAGGGAAUAUGGACUUACCGUAGUGCUCGGCGGGCCUUGCGUAAUCUCUUCCAUCAUCUGGAACAAAAGAUAAUGCUUCAGGGGUGAUGAAAUUCUAGCGAAGGGAUUUUUGAUGAGCGGAUAUGAGCCAGUUCUUGAGAGCUAUCUUAGAAUCUAAAAGAGAUUUGAAACAUUUCUUAAAUGAUUUUUUUUGUUUAAUGCGCUUUGACAUUUUUCCUUGACGGAUUUCAGAUUUUUCCCCAAAUUCAAAAUUCUCCCUCCGAUCUGAGGAAAACGCACUUGCAAAUAAACUCAGGACAAAAUGAAAAA